GAGAAAGAGAAGAGUUAAAGGAAGAGAAAGGAUGUUAAAGAGGGAGAGAGAGAGGCAGACAGAGAGAGAGAGACUGAGGAAUGGAACAAGACGUCCCAUCCGUGCGAUCAGACCAACGAGCGGAGACACUCUGAGCAACAUGAUGCACAGAAAGCCCUCGGCUGUCCAUCGUGAGAAGCCUAAUAGCCUGCCUAUGCCCCCCCCCCCCCACCACCACUCCUCCACAAACACCUUUGACACAAUUUGAUUACUGGUGCCCAUGCAACAACCCCAGAUGCCCAUCCUUAUAAUGCUACUGCAAAUUAUCCUAAGGUCUGUUGCCCAUCCUUAUAAUGCUGCUGCAAAUUAUCCUAAGAUAUGUUGCCCAUCCUUAUAAUGCUACUGCAAAUUAUCCUAAGGUCUGUUGCCCAUCCUUAUAAUGCUGCUGCAAAUUAUCCUAAGAUAUGUUGCCCAUCCUUAUAAUGCUACUGCAAAUUAUCCUAAGGUCUGUUGCCCAUCCUUAUAAUGCUGCUGCAAAUUAUCCUAAGAUAUGUUGCCCAUCCUUAUAAUGCUGCUGCAAAUUAUCCUAAGAUAUGUUGCCCAUCCUUAUAAUGCUACUGCAAAUUAUCCUAAGGUCUGUUGCCCAUCCUUAUAAUGCUACUGCAAAUUAUCCUAAGCACAUUAUUUUUUAAAUUGUUGACCAAGGGGACACACCUGGCUGUGGUACUUUUUCAGUGCUGGCUCAAGAUUCUACAGAAGAGGAUUAGGGCCACCAUAAAAACAUUAUUUGAAUUCUGACAUUAAUCUGACUUUGAUCUCAGAAUUCCGACUUUAGAAAAAAAAAAAGAAUUCUGAGAAAAAAUUCUGAAUUCUGAGUCACUCAAAUAAUAUUUUCAUGGUGGCCCUAAUCCUCUUCCAUAAGAUUCAGAAAUUGCCCGUCUCAAAUGCGUACAUGUAAAGCUCUGUAAUUUUGAGCAUGAUUUCCAUGAUUUUCAUGUAAUGAUGAUGUUACUUGAUAAUCUGUAAUUUUAUUGUACAUUUUACCCACUAUCAUGUAAAUGUUAAUACUGUACUCCGAUAUGGAUUUGGAUAUUAGUGAACUCUUACAAUAGUCUUUUGCUAAUAUCACCUCUUGUACUGACCAUUAUGUUCAUCUUAAAAUCUUUUGUUACUUCAUGCAGACUUUAUAGGGUUCAACAUUAACAUUCUGUUCUCUCUCUGACAACAGAGAAUAACUGAAUAAACAAAUAUUAUGUGGCAAAGA